rnacentral:tRNA from 1 species
GCAGCGGUGGCCGAGUGGUUAAGGCGAUUGACUAGAAAUCAAUUGGGCUCUG